UGGGGAAUAUUGCGCAAUGGGGGAAACCCUGACGCAGCAAUACCGCGUGAGUGAAGAAGGUUUUCGGAUCGUAAAGCUCUGUUAUUGGGGAAGAAAAAAAGACGGUACCCAAGAAGAAAGUCCCGGCUAACUACGUGCCAGCAGCCGCGGUAAUACGUAGGGGACAAGCGUUGUCCGGAUUUACUGGGCGUAAAGGGCACGCAGGCGGUUUUUUAAGUCAGAUGUGAAAGGUACCGGCUCAACCGGUGACAUGCAUUUGAAACUGAAAGACUUGAGUAUUGGAGAGGCAAGUGGAAUUCCUAGUGUAGCGGUGAAAUGCGUAGAUAUUAGGAGGAACACCGGUGGCGAAGGCGGCUUGCUGGACAAAUACUGACGCUGAGGUGCGAAAGCGUGGGGAGCAAACAGG
rnacentral:rRNA from 2 species